GGCCGCCUGGCGAAAUGGCAUCGCGUCUGACUACGAUUGUGGCGAUAUGCCUGCACAUAAUUGUAAUAUCAGGAGAUUGCAGGUUCGACCCCUGCGGUGGUCA